AGUAAAAUGCCUGAAUAAAGGAUUAUCGUGAUAGGGUAAAUAAUGUAAUUUUAUUACUUUUACUA
rnacentral:tRNA from 1 species